GAUGAACGCUAGCGGCAGGCUUAACACAUGCAAGUCGAGGGGUAUAGUUCUUCGGAGCUAGAGACCGGCGCACGGGUGCGUAACGCGUAUGCAAUCUACCUUUUGCAGAGGGAUAGCCCAGAGAAAUUUGGAUUAAUACCUCAUGGUAUGUGAGAAUGGCAUCAUUUUCACAUUAAAGUCACAACGGCAAAAGAUGAGCAUGCGUCCCAUUAGCUAGUUGGUAAGGUAACGGCUUACCAAGGCAACGAUGGGUAGGGGUCCUGAGAGGGAGAUCCCCCACACUGGUACUUAGACACGGACCAGACUCCUACGGGAGGCAGCAGUGAUGAAUAUUGGACAAUGGGCGCAAGCCUGAUCCAGCCAUGCCGCGUGCAGGAUGACGGUCCUAUGGAUUGUAAUCUGCUUUUGUACAGGAAGAAACACUGGUUCGUGAACCAGCUUGACGGUACUGUAAGAAUAAGGAUCGGCUAACUCCGUGCCAGCCGCCGCCGUAAUAC
rnacentral:rRNA from 1 species